CGCACUGUAAUAUAUCAAAAUGGUGAAUCAGUCAGUAAGAAACCGUCAAGAAUUAUUGUCAGUGCUCUCGAUGAAUGUUAAAGUAAUUUAAAAAUAAUUGCGAAUGUGACGCGUUCUAUUAAUAACGUACAGAAUGCAAACAGCGUAUUUCUAUUGCCAAUUUAUUUGGGGUGUAUGGUGUUUCUUACAAGUUACUGCCACCGACUAUGUCAAACUGUCAUAUGAUGGACCAACUGUUUUGGGUGCUAACAUCACUUUCAGAGCAGAUUUGUACACAGAGCAAAGUUGGUUUCCACAGAAACAAUACAAAUACGUUUGGUCCGACUCGUUAAAGAAUACAUAUAUGAUUAUAACACUAAAUAGAACAGUAUUUUGGAAUACAAGUUAUCCACGGGAAAAUAACACUUCUGGAAAUUACAAGAUGACUUUACAAGUCUAUAACAAGAUUCAUAAGUUGUUUCCAAUCUGGAUCUUUGUUACAAGUGAUUCUAUUGAUUUUGAGAUUACUGAAUAUCUGAAUGGUAAUAUGACUAUAAAACAAAAUAAUAAAACCAUAAUGAGGGAUUAUAUCUCUUCGAUAAACGAAGCAAAACUAAUAGCAGAUAUACAUAAAGAAGAUUAUGACUUUAUAAUACAGAAGGCAAUGACAAUAUCAACAUUUUGGUUUAUCGAUUGCCAGUAUUAUGGCCAAACAAAUGAUUUUACCUUUGCUUACAAUUUUACAAAUCCUGGGACAACGCAUGAAAUAGAAGCUUUGGUAAUUGCUUCGGACAAUCCACCAACGACAACAACCAUUUUGCCACCAACUACGACUACAGCCACUAAUGUGACAACAGUCCCGCCGAAUAUUACUACAGCAAGUUUAAAUGGAACUCAUGUUACAGCUGUAACUACAACUAUGUUGCCAACAACUAUCGCGAGUGCAAACCCUGCAAUAAUUGCAUCUCCAAUCACUGUAAGCAUGACAGAUGCUACCAAUAUAUCUUUUCCUUAUGUUUGUUCAAACAUUUCUUUCAUUCCACCGGAUCCUAAAAAAAUAUAUGGCUACUUCCACAAGAAAAUCUACGUUCGUGUUCCUAUAUCAAACAUCUCAGUGGAAGGUACAAACUGGAUCCAACCAUGGGAUAUGCUGUCUCUGAAUGUAACUUGCAAGGGGUCAGGACCCUUUUCUAAGUGUCUUCAAUUCCACCAUGGAAAAUAUAAUGUAACAGGAAAUGAGACAUGCAGCAAUGUGGAACACUUGCAUUCUUGCAAUUUCUCCAUUCUUCAUUAUUUCCUUGAGCCCAGUGUGUACACAAUAUUGAUUAUAUUGAACAAUGAAAUUGGUGCACAUAUUUAUCCAUUGACAAUAAACAUUUAUAAAGUUACAACAAAACCACAAUUGUCGGUUAUCGUAGUACCAGUCACUUGUUCGCUCGUUGCUGUGGUGCUGAUAGUAUUUGGUGUAGCAUAUUAUAUUCAGAGCAGAGCAAGAUUUACAGUAGAAGUUGCGAACUUCGAUUUUGGGCAAAGUAAUCCAGAAAUGGAAUACAAAACGUUUACAGAACGUUUACGCGACUCAUUUAAUAACACUGUAAGACCUGGAAGUGAACGGCCAAAUAUACGUUAUUAUGGCAGCAUGAAUCAAUGAAAAAUUGUGCAAAUUAUGUGACUUCUCUAUUGCCGUCUAAUCUUUCCAUUAUUUUCCAAUGCAGGAUAUGAACCGCUUAGCAAUUCACAAACACUUCAGUGAUGUAUGCAUUAACAAGAAGCAAUUUUCCAAAAAGCGAUGUUAACAAAUGUUUUUGCGAAGAGCAAAAACAAGGAAUUCAUCAGAAAAAUAUUCAUCAACAAAUUUAACAGUAUUGAUGAUGGAAAGAUUCGUCGGAUUUUGUUAUUGCAGUAAUAGAUCUCUAAGCGGUUUCGCUUAAAAAUCGUACAAUACUGAUUAUGAAAAAAAAAAAAAGAAAAAUACAUUUGCAAUUGUUCUUUGCAAACAAUCAAAUCGAAAGUUGUACAUAAAGACAAAGAAGUAAUGUAUAUAGGCUGUGAAUUUAGUAUGCAACACAAUAUAUUAGAAUUGCUCUUAAUAUGAUGAAAGGAGAAUUUGAUAUUUUUUUAAAAUUGCAACAAAAAUGAUCAAUUUAUAAUUCUUUUUAUAAUUUAGAAACUAUUAUGUUGAUUACUAAUAAUUACACAUGUAUAU
rnacentral:misc_RNA from 1 species